CCCAAAUCUAACCCUAGGUUUAGCAACAAUAGAGAAAUCAUGGUUUCAAGCUCCAAAUUUGGGAUUGAACCUUCUCUUAAGCUUCAAUGGUUUCCAUUUGAACCAUUCUUAAGCAACAAAACCCUUUUUAAAACCUAGGUUUAGCAAUAAUGAGGAAAACCAUGGGUGCUAGCCUCAAUGUGAGCUAGAUCCGUCAUCUCUAAGCUCAUUAGG
rnacentral:lncRNA from 1 species